GAUGAACGCUGGCGGCGUGCCUAAUACAUGCAAGUCGAACGAACGGACGAGAAGCUUGCUUCUCUGAUGUUAGCGGCGGACGGGUGAGUAACACGUGGAUAACCUACCUAUAAGACUGGGAUAACUUCGGGAAACCGGAGCUAAUACCGGAUAAUAUUUUGAACCGCAUGGUUCAAAAGUGAAAGACGGUCUUGCUGUCACUUAUAGAUGGAUCCGCGCUGCAUUAGCUAGUUGGUAAGGUAACGGCUUACCAAGGCAACGAUGCAUAGCCGACCUGAGAGGGUGAUCGGCCACACUGGAACUGAGACACGGUCCAGACUCCUACGGGAGGCAGCAGUAGGGAAUCUUCCGCAAUGGGCGAAAGCCUGACGGAGCAACGCCGCGUGAGUGAUGAAGGUCUUCGGAUCUUAAAACUCUGUUAUUAGGGAAGAACAUAUGUGUAAGUAACUGUGCACAUCUUGACGGUACCUAAUCAGAAAGCCACGGCUAACUACGUG
rnacentral:rRNA from 1 species